rnacentral:misc_RNA from 1 species
AGCAGUAGGAUUUGAGAAGCUGUAACAGUCCAUCGCCGUCAUCCACCUCGCCAUCAGGAUGGUCAAAAUUGGAGUUCUCAACUAACUUGAGAGCGGCUUCUCUAUGCUCCUCUACACGCUCGAGUGUAAUCUCCACACUUCCGUCAAUAGUGACCUCACGCUUCUUGAGGGAUGCGAGCGUGGCCUUCGUGUCGUGGUCUAGUGUCUGUAAUUUAUGCUUGAGAGCUUCCGAUUUCUUCUGGAGGUUCUGCUCGAGAGAGGUGAAGUGGUCAGAAAGCUCCUUCCAGAGAAGAGUACAGCUGGUCAUAAGAGAGGUCUGGCGUUGGAACUGGUCGAAGCUCGGCCGAGUCA